CAUAUGGGGUAUCUCUUAGGUGCAAAAGAGGGUGUCUAAUUAUGGGUGCAAGGGCUCCAAUUGUUGGCACCUAAUAGGCUUCCUAAUGUAAGUUGGAUAACUUAAGUUAAUAGGAAUCCUAAUGUAAGUCGGACUUGUAUUAUAUAAUUGAAUAGGAUUCAAUCUUUGUGCCUAUUUAAAGGAACCUCCUCUAAGGUCUCUAAGUGAUCAAAAUCAGCAGUCCCUCACACCCA
rnacentral:lncRNA from 1 species